GACAGAGGAUGCAAGCGUUAUCCGGAAUCAUUGGGCGUAAAGCGUUCCGACAGGUGGUUUUACAAGUCAGAAGUGAAAUCUUUCAGCUUAACUGGAAGACUGUCUUUUGAAACUGUAAAACUAGAGGGGCAAAGAGGAAGCUGGAACAAGCGGUGUAGUAGUGAAAUGCGUUGAUAUCGCUUGGAACACCAAUAGCGUAGGAAGGCUUAUGGGUGCCACCUGACAAUGCUAGGACGAAAGAGUGGGGAGCGAAUGGG
rnacentral:rRNA from 1 species